GGGGAUAUAGCUCAGUGGUAGACUAUUCGAUUGCAGAUCGAGAGGUCUUUGAUUCAAAUCCGGUUGUCCCUA
rnacentral:tRNA from 1 species